rnacentral:lncRNA from 1 species
AAAUUUGACCGGGCUGUAAACCAAAUAAAUAUUUUAAAACAGUCCAUAUAGCAGUCCAUUUACAUUGGCCCACCAACCAGUAGACCCAAAAUCAAUUGGCCUAAACCUUAUGCCCGGUUACAACUCAGCAGACCCAAACCCGUUACAUUACUGACCCAUUUCUAAAAUCUUACUCUUAAGGCUCAUUACAACAGACCUAAAUGGACCCAAGACUAAAGUGGCCCAACUGGCCCAAACCGUUACACCGAGGCAUGAAACCCUAGGGUUUCUGCCUCUCUUUCUCCUCGCGCCGCAAGUAGAAGAUUCCAGAAGCCAUCCCAAUAGACGCGUCGUUCCAGCUACUCUCCAGCAAGGCCACAAUCCUAAGGCUCUUAGUCACGCCGAGAUCACCGCCACCAGUGGACCAUCGUUAAGCCUUCGUCACCACCGAAAUCUUUGCAAGUCACCUGCAAGAAAAGGAAACACAGCAGAUACGAACAAAAAAAAAAAGGAAACUAAAAUAAAAGGAUUUCAGAAGAUCACAAUCAAAGAUAUGGUAGAUACAGCAGACAAGAAAUGGAAAGAAAUCUUCGAUUUCUUUCCCAGUUUAUGUAAUAACAGUAGUGGCUAUAAAAGUCCGAAUUAAAACGGUGUAAGGGGACCCUUCUUUUUUGGGGAAGAAAGAAAUAUACUCACAGACAUUCAUUCAAAAAAAAUACCAACAGUCUCUCAAAAGGUGAUUUAAUCGCAUAUCUCGUGCUUUAUUUUGAACAUAUAUGAAUUGUUUUAUCAUAUACAAGUAAGGAUCUAAGGGAAAAGAGGUCACCUGAGGAAGGGCAAAGGUUUUUAAGCCUUCAGACCACCGUGUACGAUGGCGCGUGAAGCGCGUGUGCAAGCACUGCACCGUGGCCGGAGGCCAGGAUUGGGACCUCUCUCCUCCCUUCUGCAGAGCAUUUCAAGAUUUUUUUUAGGGCUGGUGUUAAAAUGAUUUUUUAAGCUGCGAAAUUGGCUUAUAU